GCAGUCGAACGGUGAUGUCAGAGCUUGCUCUGGCGGAUCAGUGGCGAACGGGUGAGUAACACGUGAGUAACCUGCCCCCGACUCUGGGAUAACUGCUAGAAAUGGUAGCUAAUACCGGAUAUGACGACUGGCCGCAUGGUCUGGUCGUGGAAAGAAUUUCGGUUGGGGAUGGACUCGCGGCCUAUCAGGUUGUUGGUGAGGUAAUGGCUCACCAAGCCUACGACGGGUAGCCGGCCUGAGAGGGUGACCGGCCACACUGGGACUGAGACACGGCCCAGACUCCUACGGGAGGCAGCAGUGGGGAAUAUUGCACAAUGGGCGCAAGCCUGAUGCAGCAACGCCGCGUGAGGGAUGACGGCCUUCGGGUUGUAAACCUCUUUUAGUAGGGAAGAAGCGAAAGUGACGGUACCUGCAGAAAAAGCACCGGCUAACUACGUGCCAGCAGCCGCGGUAAUACGUAGGGUGCAAGCGUUGUCCGGAAUUAUUGGGCGUAAAGAGCUCGUAGGCGGUUUGUCGCGUCUGCUGUGAAAUCCCGAGGCUCAACCUCGGGUCUGCAGUGGGUACGGGCAGACUAGAGUGCGGUAGGGGAGAUUGGAAUUCCUGGUGUAGCGGUGGAAUGCGCAGAUAUCAGGAAGAACACCGAUGGCGAAAGCAGAUCUCUGGGCCCGUACUGACGCUGAAGAGCGAAAGCA
rnacentral:rRNA from 1 species